AGUGAACGCUGGCGGUAGGCCUAACACAUGCAAGUCGAACGGCAGCACAGUAAGAGCUUGCUCUUACGGGUGGCGAGUGGCGGACGGGUGAGGAAUACAUCGGAAUCUACUUUUUCGUGGGGGAUAACGUAGGGAAACUUACGCUAAUACCGCAUACGACCUACGGGUGAAAGCAGGGGAUCUUCGGACCUUGCGCGAUUGAAUGAGCCGAUGUCGGAUUAGCUAGUUGGCGGGGUAAAGGCCCACCAAGGCGACGAUCCGUAGCUGGUCUGAGAGGAUGGUAGGCCACACUGGAACUGAGACACGGUCCAGACUCCUACGGGAGGCAGCAGUGGGGAAUAUUGGACAAUGGGCGCAAGCCUGAUCCAGCCAUACCGCGUGGGUGAAGAAGGCCUUCGGGUUGUAAAGCCCUUUUGUUGGGAAAGAAAAGCAGCAGGUUAAUACCCCGCUGUUCUGACGGUACCCAAAGAAUAAGCACCGGCUAACUUCGUG
rnacentral:rRNA from 1 species